CAGUUACUCACUCCGUUCCGAAUUACUUGUCGUUAAAAUGGAUGUAUCUAGAUGUAUUUUAGUUCUAGAUACAUCCAUUUCUAUGAUGAGUAAUUUGGAAUGGAGGGAGUACAAC
rfam:Triticum urartu cultivar G1812 contig840062, whole genome shotgun sequence.